rnacentral:rRNA from 1 species
GUUGAACGCUGGCGGCAGGCCUAACACAUGCAAGUCGAGCGGAUGAAGGGAGCUUGCUCCUGGAUUCAGCGGCGGACGGGUGAGUAAUGCCUAGGAAUCUGCCUGGUAGUGGGGGAUAACGUCCGGAAACGGGCGCUAAUACCGCAUACGUCCUGAGGGAGAAAGUGGGGGAUCUUCGGACCUCACGCUAUCAGAUGAGCCUAGGUCGGAUUAGCUAGUUGGUGGGGUAAAGGCCUACCAAGGCGACGAUCCGUAACUGGUCUGAGAGGAUGAUCAGUCACACUGGAACUGAGACACGGUCCAGACUCCUACGGGAGGCAGCAGUGGGGAAUAUUGGACAAUGGGCGAAAGCCUGAUCCAGCCAUGCCGCGUGUGUGAAGAAGGUCUUCGGAUUGUAAAGCACUUUAAGUUGGGAGGAAGGGCAGUAAGUUAAUACCUUGCUGUUUUGACUUUACCAACAGAAUAAGCACCGGCUAACUUCGUG